rnacentral:misc_RNA from 1 species
AAGUCGUAACAAGGUUUCCGUAGGUGAACCUGCGGAAGGAUCAUUAUUACGAAAUCAAAAAUCGUAACCCCAAACAACAAAUUGUGCAUACUUUACUGUUCCGGUAGUUUCAUUUGACCUUUGUAAAGGCUUUCUUUGAUGUGCCUACAAACACAGUCAAAGCACUUCUGAGCAGAUGAAGUGAACGGGUCUUUUUUGUCAGAUGAUUACAAACUACCGGUUAGUAUUAUCUGCUCACACUACUUAACAAACCAUUAACCCCAUGUAACUAUUUUGAACUAAAUACAUCUGACACAUGCAUCUCAUGUAUGUGUCUGAAUCAAAACCGAACUUAAGAACAACUCUUAACAACGGAUAUCUUGGUUCUC